rnacentral:sRNA from 1 species
UUUUGCAGCGUCCUGCGCUGGUGCAGGUA